GGUGACAGUGAGAGAGGGGGUGACUAGUGACCGAGUGAGGGAGGGAGAGGGUGACUAGUGACAGAGUGAGGAAGGGGGUGACACAGUGAUAGUCACCCCAUUCCUCCCUCUGUCACUAAUCACCACCUCCCUCACUCUCACUAGUCACCCUUCCCUCCCUCACUCUGUCACUAGUCACACCCUCCCUCUCUCUGUCACU